rnacentral:rRNA from 1 species
AGAGUUUGAUCCUGGCUCAGAUUGAACGCUGGCGGCAUGCUUUACACAUGCAAGUCGAACGGUAACAGGGUGCUUGCACCGCUGACGAGUGGCGAACGGGUGAGUAAUGCAUCGGAAUGUACCGUGUAAUGGGGGAUAGCUCGGCGAAAGCCGGAUUAAUACCGCAUACGCCCUGAGGGGGUAAGUGGGGGACCGUAAGGCCUCACGUUAUACGAGCAGCCGAUGUCUGAUUAGCUAGUUGGUGGGGUAAAGGCUCACCAAGGCUUCGAUCAGUAGCGGGUCUGAGAGGAUGAUCCGCCCCACUGGGACUGAUA